rnacentral:rRNA from 1 species
ACGGGUGAGUAACGCGUGGGAAUCUACCCAUCCCUACGGGAUAACACAGAGAAAUUUGUGCUAAUACCGUAUACGUCCUUCGGGAGAAAGAUUUAUCGGGGAUGGAUGAGCCCGCGUCGGAUUAGCUAGUUGGUGGGGUAAUGGCCUACCAAGGCGACGAUCCGUAGCUGGUCUGAGAGGAUGACCAGCCACAUUGGGACUGAGACACGGCCCAAACUCCUACGGGAGGCAGCAGUGGGGAAUAUUGGACAAUGGGCGCAAGCCUGAUCCAGCCAUGCCGCGUGAGUGAUGACGGCCUUAGGGUUGUAAAGCUCUUUCACCCACGACGAUAAUGACGGUAGUGGGAGAAGGAGCCCCGGCUAACUUCGUGCCAGCAGCCGCGGUAAUACGAAGGGGGCUAGCGUUGUUCGGAAUUACUGGGCGUAAAGCGUACGUAGGCGGACCGUUAAGUCAGAGGUGAAAUCCCGGAGCUCAACUUCGGAAUUGCCUUUGAUACUGGCGGUCUUGAGUUCGGGAGAGGUGAGUGGAACUGCUAGUGUAGAGGUGAAAUUCGUAGA